GACGAACGCUGGCGGCGUGCCUAAUACAUGCAAGUCGAGCGAGUCUGCCUUGAAGAUCGGAGUGCUUGCACUCUGUGAAACAAGAUACAGGCUAGCGGCGGACGGGUGAGUAACACGUGGGUAACCUGCCCAAGAGAUCGGGAUAACACCUGGAAACAGAUGCUAAUACCGGAUAACAACAUAUGAUGCCUAUCAACUGUUUAAAAGAUGGUUCUGCUAUCACUCUUGUAUGGACCUGCGGUGCAUUAGCUAGUUGGUAGGGUAACGGCCUACCAAGGCGAUGAUGCAUAGCCGAGUUGAGAGACUGAUCGGCCACAUUGGGACUGAGACACGGCCCAAACUCCUACGGGAGGCAGCAGUAGGGAAUAUUCCACAAUGGACGCAAGUCUGAUGGAGCAACGCCGCGUGAGUGAAGAAGGGGUUCGGCUCGUAAAGCUCUGUUGUUGGUGAAGAAGGACAGGGGUAGUAACUGACCUUUGUUUGACGGUAAUCAAUGAGAAAGUCACGGCUAACUAAGUG
rnacentral:rRNA from 1 species